rnacentral:rRNA from 1 species
UCAAGCGAAUAAGCGCACACGGUGGAUGCCUAGGCGGUCAGAGGCGAUGAAGGACGUGGUAGCCUGCGAAAAGUGUCGGGGAGCUGGCAACAAGCUUUGAUCCGGCAAUAUCCGAAUGGGGAAACCCACUGCUUCGGCAGUAUCUUGCAGUGAAUUCAUAGCUGCUUGAAGCGAACCCGGUGAACUGAAAUAUCUAAGUAACCGGAGGAAAAGAAAUCAACCGAGAUUCCCUGAGUAGUGACGAGCGAACGGGGAACAGCCCUUAAGCUGGAAUGGCUUUAGAAAAACAAUCUGGAAAGAUUGGCCAUAGAAGGUGAUAGCCCUGUAUUUAAAAGGGCCACUCCAGUGAAGACGAGUAGGGCGGGGCACGUGAAACCCUGUCUGAAUAUGGGGGGACCAUCCUCCAAGGCUAAAUACUCCUGACCGACCGAUAGUGAACCAGUACCGUGAGGGAAAGGCGAAAAGAACCCCGGAGAGGGGAGUGAAAUAGAUCCUGAAACCGUGUGCGUACAAGCAGUAGGAGCUCGCAAGAGUGACUGCGUACCUUUUGUAUAAUGGGUCAGCGACUUACUGUUCGUGGCAAGCUUAACCGUAUAGGGGAGGCGAAGGGAAACCGAGUCUGAUAAGGGCGCAUAGUCGCGGGCAGUAGACCCGAAACCGGGUGAUCUAGUCAUGGCCAGGGUGAAGGUGCCGUAACAGGUACUGGAGGCCCGAACCCACGUCUGUUGCAAAAGACGGGGAUGAGCUGUGAUUAGGAGUGAAAAGCUAAUCGAACCCGGAGAUAGCUGGUUCUCCUCGAAAGCUAUUUAGGUAGCGCCUCGGACGAAUACUACUGGGGGUAGAGCACUGUUAUGGCUAGGGGGUCAUCGCGACUUACCAAACCAUUGCAAACUCCGAAUACCAGUACGUACUAUCCGGGAGACACACGGCGGGUGCUAACGUCCGUCGUGAAAAGGGAAACAACCCAGACCCACAGCUAAGGUCCCAAAUUCACUGCUAAGUGGAAAACGAUGUGGAAAGGCAUAGACAGCCAGGAGGUUGGCUUAGAAGCAGCCACCCUUUAAAGAAAGCGUAAUAGCUCACUGGUCGAGUCGGUCUGCGCGGAAGAUUUAACGGGGCUAAGCAGUGAACCGAAGCUUGGGGUGCGUAAAACUUCGGUUUUAUGCGCGGUAGAGGAGCGUUCCGUAAGCCUGCGAAGGUGGAUUGAGAAGUCUGCUGGAGGUAUCGGAAGUGCGAAUGCUGACAUGAGUAACGAUAAUGCGGGUGAAAAGCCCGCACGCCGAAAGCCCAAGGUUUCCUUGCGCAACGUUAAUCGACGCAGGGUUAGUCGGUCCCUAAGGCGAGGGCGAAAGCCGUAGUCGAUGGGAAGCAGGUUAAUAUUCCUGCACCUCGCGUGAGUGCGAUGGAGGGACGGAGAAGGUUAGGUGUACCGGGCGUUGGUUGUCCCGGGGAAAGGCGGUAGGUUUGGAUCUUUGGCAAAUCCGGGAUCCUUUAAGACCGAGCACCGAGACGAGCCUUUAUGGCGAAGUCACUGAUACCACGCUUCCAGGAAAAGCUCCUAAGCUUCAGCUCACGAAGACCGUACCGUAAACCGACACAGGUGGGUAGGAUGAGAAUUCUCAGGCGCUUGAGAGAACUCGGGUGAAGGAACUAGGCAACAUGGCACCGUAACUUCGGGAGAAGGUGCACCCUUUUUGGUGGCUCAUGCGAGCUAUAGCUGAAGAGGGUCGCAGAAACCAGGCCGCUGCGACUGUUUAUCAAAAACACAGCACUCUGCAAACACGAAAGUGGACGUAUAGGGUGUGACGCCUGCCCGGUGCUGGAAGGUUAAUUGAUGGGGUCAGCCGCAAGGCGAAGCUCUUGAUCGAAGCCCCAGUAAACGGCGGCCGUAACUAUAACGGUCCUAAGGUAGCGAAAUUCCUUGUCGGGUAAGUUCCGACCUGCACGAAUGGCGUAACGACAGCGGCGCUGUCUCCACCCGAGACUUAGUGAAAUUGAAAUCGCUGUGAAGAUGCAGCGUUCCCGUGGCAAGACGGAAAGACCCCGUGAACCUUUACUAUAGCUUUACACUGAACGUUGAGUUCGUCUGUGUAGGAUAGGUGGGAGGCUAUGAAACUGUGGCGCUAGCUGCAGUGGAGCCAACCUUGAAAUACCACCCUGUCGUGCUUGACGUUCUAACCUAGAUCCGUUAUCCGGAUCAGGGACCGUGUAUGGUGGGUAGUUUGACUGGGGCGGUCUCCUCCUAAAGAGUAACGGAGGAGCACGAAGGUACGCUCAGCGCGGUCGGACAUCGCGCACUGUGUGCAAAGGCAUAAGCGUGCUUGACUGCAAGAUCGACGGAUCAAGCAGGUACGAAAGUAGGUCUUAGUGAUCCGGUGGUUCUGUAUGGAAGGGCCAUCGCUCAACGGAUAAAAGGUACUCCGGGGAUAACAGGCUGAUACCGCCCAAGAGUUCAUAUCGACGGCGGUGUUUGGCACCUCGAUGUCGGCUCAUCACAUCCUGGGGCUGUAGUCGGUCCCAAGGGUAUGGCUGUUCGCCAUUUAAAGUGGUACGCGAGCUGGGUUCAGAACGUCGUGAGACAGUUCGGUCCCUAUCUGCCAUGGGCGUUGGAAGUUUGAGAGGGGCUGCUCCUAGUACGAGAGGACCGGAGUGGACGAACCUCUGGUGUUCCGGUUGUCACGCCAGUGGCAUUGCCGGGUAGCUAUGUUCGGAAGCGAUAACCGCUGAAAGCAUCUAAGCGGGAAGCGCGCCUCAAGAUGAGACUUCCCGGGGCACAAGCCCCCUAAAGGAACCAUAUAGACUAUGUGGUUGAUAGGUCAGGUGUGUAAGUACAGCAAUGUAUUGAGCUAACUGAUACUAAUGAUCCGUGCGGCUUGACCA